rnacentral:snRNA from 1 species
AUACCCACCUGGCAGGGGAAGAUACCAUGAUCAUGAAGGUGGCUUUCCCAGGGCGAGGCUCACCCUACACUCUGGAUGUGCUGACCCCUGCGAUUUCCCCAAAUGUGGGAAACUGGACUGCAUAAUUAGUGGUAGUGGAGAACUGCAUUCGCGCUCUCCCCAG